rnacentral:lncRNA from 1 species
GCACUAUAGCGGAAUAUGCAAAAUGAUGCAAACUAGAUAGCAACAGAGUAAACCUCACACAGAAUGCUAGCUAGAAUACGUAAAAAGGUGUACAAAAUAAACAAGAGAGAGGGAGGUACCAACUCCCGGUGGAAAAACCUGAAAGUAGGCUUUGAUAUGCCCGAGGUCAACUGCUACCAACUCUUGCACGUCCCAGCCGGUGUUGUUUAGCUCCUCACUCCCAAACGCUGCAAAGUGGCCUCGCCGCCGCGGCUAGUACCUGGGGCAAGUUUUCCUGAAGCUUAUCGGAACGGUUAGUUCUGCUGCGUCUUGCCGAAAAUCUGAACGGGAGUCGUCAGAAGUACUGUAGCUUGCCAAAAAUCCUCGCCGGAAAAAUAAGGCACCUACUUGAAAUCAAAGCCCAGCUAAGAGCAGUCAACAGACCCAACAAUAAACAACAAACAACUCUGUUAGGAGAAUUUUUCUUCAAUAUAGCAGUGAAACAAAAAUCAGUAAAUACACACUCCUCAAUUCCAGAAUCCGAUGAGAAUGAACAACAAGAUCAAAAGAAAAAUUUUCGGCUAGAACUCGAGAUGGAGCAACGAAUAAUAGAAAACAGUCAACAACGAUUUCAGCAACAACAGUCCUUUAAUAGCUAGAUCUAAACUCGCAAAAUUCGAUAGAUUGCACAGAUAAGCGAAGAAAUCUGUGAAAUCUUCCAAAUUCAUGUUUUUAAAAAAAAUCCUUUUCAACCAGAUUUUUAUUUGUUCUUACGACUUUUGAUUUUCAGAUCAAGUUUCGGAUCUGGCGAUGUUGCAGAAACAAAAACCUGAACUUGGAGCAGAGCAACCUGUGUUAGUGAAAUUACAAUUUCAAAAAUAAUUAGAAAUAAUUUUUGAUAAAAAUCUAUUGUAAAUAUUUUUGGAUUGUCGAUAUAAUUUGAAAAAACUACUACUGAAAUAUAUAUCAGAUUGUGUUUUUAGUUUUCUCUUCAACACCAAUACGUUGAAGACAUCGAAAAAUCUCUACACUUCAGAACUCAAAAAAAGUCAACAAACUCAAAAACAUAUUUGGUCCAAACCCAGUUUCAGAUCCGAGAACAACAACAAAAUUUAUUGUAAAAGGGAAGUUUUUCCAACACAUUAUACUUCAAAGACUCAAAUAAUACGCCGAUUCAAAAAAAAAAAGGUGAUGAUAGUAUUUUUUGAUCAAUUUGGAUUUGUUUUGACGGGUAUAAGAUUAAAUCCUGCAUAUAUUAAGCUAAGCAUGAAUAGUUUGUGAAAAUUAUGAAGAAUUUUGGAGAUUUAUAGAGUGAAAUUGAGUAGAAAUCGGGUCUGAUUUUGCUAUGCUAGGUUUUACCCGAUCUAGAAUUCCAGAUUAGGAAAUUGAAGCGUAAUACUGUUCAUUUUGUUCCAUGUACUCCCUUGGUAAUCAAAACUUUACAGAUCCACCCCCAUGUUUUUUUUCCCUCUUUUUUUAUUACUUAUAGUUUGUUAUUUAAUAAGGUAUUAAAAUCGAUCAAAUUGCUAAUCAUUUUUUUAAAAUUUUCGUCGAUACAAAUCGUAAAACACGCUUAAGACUAAACUUUAUGAAUUACCAACAAUAAUAGGUAGAAAAGUCACGGUUUUGGCUAAAAAUAUAGCGACCACCGCAAUCCAACCUACUAUUUUUAUCCAUAGGCUUAUUUCUUGAGUAAUUGGUGCCUGAAAUCAAUCCUAAAACACGUUUACGUAGAAAUUUUGUACUUUUCUUUGAUCAAAAUAGUAAAAAAAGAAGAAAAAAGUGUUAGAUCAAGAAAAACUUGUUUCUACUGCACCCGGAUUGGGCUGACCCCCGAAAUGCAGAAGAAGGGAUGCCGUGUGGCCUGCCUAAGCCCAGUCAUGACUGUGGAGAGUUUCGGCGAGUGUGGCCUUCCC